AGCAGCCUUGUCAAAUUCAGUGUGUCCGUUCCAGUGGACCACACUGGCCAAAAUGGCUGCCACAUAAAGUGUAGCUCAUGGGCCUCGCAUCCUUCAAUGAUGGAUAUUGGGGAUAGAAAUGUGCUACUCACAAAU